rnacentral:rRNA from 1 species
UAGAGUUUGAUCAUGGCUCAGAUUGAACGCUGGCGGCAGGCUUAACACAUGCAAGUCGAGCGGUAGCACAGGGGAGCUUGCUCCCUGGGUGACGAGCGGCGGACGGGUGAGUAAUGUCUGGGAAACUGCCUGAUGGAGGGGGAUAACUACUGGAAACGGUAGCUAAUACCGCAUAACGUCGCAAGACCAAAGAGGGGGACCUUCGGGCCUCUUGCCAUCAGAUGUGCCCAGAUGGGAUUAGCUAGUAGGUGGGGUAAUGGCUCACCUAGGCGACGAUCCCUAGCUGGUCUGAGAGGAUGACCAGCCACACUGGAACUGAGACACGGUCCAGACUCCUACGGGAGGCAGCAGUGGGGAAUAUUGCACAAUGGGCGCAAGCCUGAUGCAGCCAUGCCGCGUGUGUGAAGAAGGCCUUCGGGUUGUAAAGCACUUUCAGCGAGGAGGAAGGUGGUGAGCUUAAUACGUUCAUCAAUUGACGUUACUCGCAGAAGAAGCACCGGCUAACUCCGUGCCAGCAGCCGCGGUAAUACGGAGGGUGCAAGCGUUAAUCGGAAUUACUGGGCGUAAAGCGCACGCAGGCGGUUUGUUAAGUCAGAUGUGAAAUCCCCGGGCUCAACCUGGGAACUGCAUUUGAAACUGGCAAGCUAGAGUCUCGUAGAGGGGGGUAGAAUUCCAGGUGUAGCGGUGAAAUGCGUAGAGAUCUGGAGGAAUACCGGUGGCGAAGGCGGCCCCCUGGACGAAGACUGACGCUCAGUCGAAGCA